CAAAGCAUAUAUUAUUGAGAGGCCAGCUCAGUAAGCCAUAUGUACCUUCUACCACAGGCUCCAGCCACGCUAGGAGGCAGGUGGAUUACUGAAGAGUUUUCUAACAGAGCGGCACUUGCUUGAAGACUCUUAAGAUCCACAAUAUAGAAUUGGAUCAAAUGUGGGAAAAGUAAGCAAUGUGUGGUACAACUGAAACACUGAACCCUUUCAUUAAACUCCUGACAAUAUCAUCAGCCUAUUGAGCCACAGGGAAGCAAAUGGACACAAUAACUCCGGUGCACUCUGCUGUGGAUCAAGACAUCCUGCUUCAUGGGAAACCCUUGUUCGUCCUUCCCACUCUUCCACUCUUCACUACGAGCAUCUGUAGAUACUUCUGUGGCCAUGAGCUUCUUAUAGAAAGUGCAAAUUGUGUUUAUUGUCUGCUUCAAUGAGUUUCUGAUACUUGGUGGCUGGGAAGGAGGUAUUCAGUUUAAUCUUGACAGACAGCCACCUAAGAGGUGAAACAAAAGGAACUCCUCAGUGAUUCUGGAUAACCUGCCUGUCUUGUAUUGGCAUCCUCAAAUCUGCACUUAAAUGAUUUCCUGGGAACAACUUCUUCAUUAUUCUUACGGUCUAAGCUAGCUCUUUUGUUUUAUAUUUGGUUUGAUAUUGGUUUUUCAAGACAGAGUUUCUCUAUGGAGCUCUUCUGUCCUGGAAAUCACUCUGUAGCCUGGAAUGGAUUUUAGUUUAUUGAUAAAAAUUUAAAGUUAAUUCUGUUAUACUGUAGGUAUAUUUCUACUCUUGUUUAAGGUAGUGUGUUUAUGCAGCUCAUUUAAAAAUGUAA
rnacentral:lncRNA from 1 species